UCCUACGUUCGAUCCUACAUGUUUCUCAGGAAGCGAAGAUUGCACGUAGAUAUGAAACUUGCGCGGCAUGCGGGCGCGCGCAAACUUUUCCAGGCUAUCACCCCGCUGAGAAUUCCAGCUUUACCAACGAGGGGGUGUAUCCUGCCACGGAGUUUUCUCCGAAAAAGGAAAUGCUGGCGUCAUCCGGCGGGCAGAGCUCGAACUACAAAUGUAGCAUCAGCGUUGGAGGGGUAGUAGGGGUUUCAUCCCCUUCAUGCCCCUCGUAGAAAGGGAUGACGGUCGGGGUGGGAGCACGCGGUACAAGCCCAUGUUACACUCAUCGGAAUUGUUUUUCUCUCCGUUGCAUUUUUAUUUUGUGAAAUAUAAAACCAUCUAUUAUAAGCUUGUGAGAGAGACUCUCGACGACGUUACAAAUCAUUUAGCAGAUUCUUAGACUUCAUUGUCAUUAGUAUAAAAAUGCAAUACAUUAAUUUUUUAUGAGUGUAUAAAAGUAUAUCUAAAAAUGAUAAAAGAUAAGAGCAGACUAGUACAACAUAAAUAAGCGCAUAUAAAAAUAUUUUACAAUAAAUGUCGUAAAAAAAUAUUAUCAUUUUUAUUAAGACAACUUAUAUUUCAUUAGAAAUGUUCUGAUAAUGCCGAGAAUUUUCUCACGGAAAGGAUACAGGAGAAGAGUAACUACCCAUUAGCUAAAAGCCAUAAGAUGCAUAAAAAUGUUCAACAUUAUGCAUUACGCGAUAUGGUUUUAAGUCUAAAAAAAUUUGCCUCGUGAAGAAUGGACUGUCGGCUGUACACCCCACCACGGAAGAGUGAGUGCACAAGUGGGGGUGAAUCGAUACAGCCGCGAUACAACAGCUGAAGCUUCGAAACUCGAAAUAGGAAUGCGCACGCACCCCCUUCCAACGUGACUCUAUUGAGCCUCGGAACAGUGUAACGCGAGGAAAUCAUUCGUAGCGGACAGGUGACUCCUCCAGCUCUAUCUACGUACGCGUACGGCAGAUGUAUAUAUUUUUAAGCGUCGUUCACCAUCAGCCAACGUAAUUGAGCACGCACAAUCAACAGAGUCCGCUGGAUUCGGAUUACGCUGGCAAUUCGAAUCUUAUUUAUCAACUCCAAAAUCUCGUCGACUAUACGCCCGUGGUCUUAUCUACAUCCCAGCUGCGCUUCGUCCCGAUCUCGACCGUCGGGAGAGAAGUCUCUGUGUGCAGAAGGGAAUCUUGCCCAAGCUGGCGCCGGCCCCGAGGGAGUUUCGACUAAUUUCCCGUAGGUCCAAGUCGAAAUAGACCGUUAACACCCCCGUGGAAGCGUAGAACACAAAUGUAAGACGAGGGAAGGUAAGCGCUAAGGGCGAGAAAGGUGGAAGAUGGAAGAACCGAAGCGAAACGGUGCAUAAGAUAGCUGCCAGCGGGAUGAACGGGCGAACGAGCGAGGGCGAGCGAGCGGACGAACCAGGAGAGGAUGGAUGUAAAAUAAGAAGAGAGAAGAACGGGGGAGAAAUCCCGGCAACGAGACGCAGCAGUGGGGAGAAAUUCUCAGGGCGGAGGUAGAUAAAAGUGAGGAAGGGCUUGGGUGUCUCCAGUCAAACUGAAACUUGCCCCUUUGCCUAGCGGGCUGCGCGUGCCUUUCACCACUGUAUGCUCCCCUUCGACCACCCGUAACGACCGGAAAUUUGGAAACUUGACACUACGAAGAGGAUUGGCGUGGUUCUCCGUGAGGUCACUUCGGAGUUUCUCCACCGGACACACUUUGCCCGAGAAUGAAAUCGUUCUACCGUACGACACUGUUGUUCAACUAUCCCUUCCUAUUUGCCCUUUCUCUUUCCCGUUUCCCUUCCCUUCUCUCCCUCCCUCCCUCUCUUUCUCUCUCUGUCUUAUUUAUUUCUCCAUUAUCGUCUCUUUCUCUCUCUUCUUCCUUUUUUCUGCAAUUUUGGUUUUAUACGAUUAUCCGUUCCGGCUAUAACGUACGAGCUAUAACGGUGUAUACGCAGAAUUAUCAUCGUUUUGAUAAGGUAAGGAGAAAAGCAGAUAACGACGAAAUUAGAAAGGAAGAGACAAGAAAAAGAGAAGCAUUGUGCAGCCAAAAGAGGCAGCGCUUUAUAGCAGUACGAUGGAAAUACAAUGGCACUCAUUCUGCCGGCUUUCCAUGCUCGCCAGGCUGCUAUCCCCGGUUCUCGCACCCUCUCUUUCGCCUACCUGUAUAACUGGAAACUUUGCAUAAAUAUACUAUAACUAUUGUUUCGCAAGAGCCAUUGGUGGGAGCGCGUCUGGUUAUUUAUGGUUGUGGGUUAAUGAAUUUCUCCUUUCAGGCUCGAUUUAUUGGCUAAUCAGGCCUGCCCGAUGCCAGCUUUAUCUCGUGGAUAAGUUGCAGCGAAACUGCCGAUGGGAAAAAGCAGACUAUGGUGAUUGAACAAUCUUCUUAUGACAAGAAUGCUAUUAAAUUUCAAUGCUCCGCUAUUGCUAGUUCUUCUUUAAUAUACAUAAGCACCUUGUUAAAAAAAUAUUAAAAAGAUUUAAAGAAUAAAAACUUUUGUUUAAAUAAUGAAAGUGCAAUUUUCAUGUAUCAAAUAUUAUCAAAAUAUUUUUGUAACUUUCUAUUUUAACAUGUACAAGCUAUUUUUAAAGAUGUGCCAAUAUAAUGAGUCUGAAGCAAUUUGCGAAAUGAACGCCGCGUAAUUAGUUAACUACGUUAAACUGUUUUUAGUAUCCUUUAUAUAUAAAAUUACACAGAACAAAAUUGCGUAUAACUGUUGCUAUUCUUGAAAACAUCUGCAAAUGAUGAUAACCAACAAAUUAUUUAAGUAUCGCUGCAUUAGCGAAUUCCGGUGCCGGAAUUGUCGAAUCAACGUAGUUAGAAUUUUAUUCAUGCAAUAUCAGGAAAUGUUCUGUGGCUAUUAAAUUGUAAUCUUGAGAAAUCGACCUCUCGUGACUCAACUGUUUUCGUACCAAUAUCCUACAGAUACAAUUUUGUGCUCGUCUCGUGUAAAUAGCCAAGCGUUGCGCGUUCAAGGAACAUUUUACAUUUUCUAAUAAUCACUAAGUACCUAUCUCCGUGCGCGCUCAUUUUUCUUUUCUUAAAAGUGUACAUCACGUUCUCGCAAUUUUAUCUGCGCGUUUUACUUAUACGUUCAUUCUUAUUUUCAGAGAAGUUUAGAAGAUAUAUUCAAGCUUUAUAUACAGGAUGAUCCAAAAGUCGUACGUUUUUGUUGCUCAUAAAACAAUUGACACAUCUUGGAUAAAUUGAAAAAGAUUGAAGCAGAUACCAAGUUGAUCCGAUACUUUAAUGAGGCUAUUAUUACAUUUGAAUUUAUAAUAAUAGUAAUUUAAAAAAAAUGAAUUAUAUUAUAUUUACAGAUUUGAAGCCCAACUAUUACAUACAACUUUUAUUUAAAAAAGAGAGAGAAUUUUUAACAUAGGUUUAACAUAUUUAUUUAAAAAAA